UAUAUUUUAGUAUAUAUGUACAAAGAUUUUUGGAAUCUUUAGAAAUAAUUUGUUUUAUUAAAUAUAU
rnacentral:tRNA from 1 species